AGUAUUGCAGAUCAAACCAAAGGCAGGAGUUUCUUUUUCUUUCUGCUUCAGGGUUGAAGAGGGAUCCUCAGUGGCUUGCAAAUUUAACUAAAUUGUGAAAGCAGUCGCCAUUCCAAAGAUUCGUGUAAAAAAAAAAAAAAGUGAGAGGACUUUGUCAUGAAACCUUUCAUUUUUUUUUUUUUAAGAAGUCAAUUGGAGAUUUUUUUUUUUUUUGGCAUUCUUUUGAUUGAAAAGUGAAUAACCAAAAAGGACUUCCUGCUCAAUAUCUGGCCCCCUGUUCUUUGAAAAAUCCAAGUACCAAAAUUCAAAUGCUCCGAGUCUGUUAUUUGUGCCACUGGGAUCCCCCUCAAUGUAGCCACAGGGUCAUAUUUGUUAAAACUUAAAAAAAAAAAAAAGAAAAAAAUACCAAUUAAAAAUGCUGUAGUCUUUGGAGUAAGAUGUUGCAUAUUUUGCCUUUCAUUUCCCCCCUCGACGGUAACGCUUAGGCCCCUCACCAAACUCUCAGUAACCAUGGUAACUGUAUACAAACCAUGCUGGCGAUGGUGCUGAAUGGUAAGUGGUGAAGUCCAUCUGCCGUUUCACGUAUUUAGUGCUGAUAUAUCUCUAUACAUAUCUAUCUACCACGUGGAGUUUUCUGACUUGUUGUAUUAAGUUUUCUUGAUGCUCUAUUUUUUUGGAUAUUGGUACGCCUGUAAUUGAGUGUACGUUCUAAGCUAGCCUGGGAGGCUCUGACUGGAUUGAGUUAUGACCGGUGCACAUCUUACUCAGAUUGUUAACUCCAUAUUGUGUUACACAAUGCACCCUCUCUUUUAUCCUUUUGUUAGCUGUGACUUUAAAAGCUUGAAUGAUUUGUUAAUUCCUGCGAUGUUCAAGGCUCUCGUUCCAAGUGUUGAAUGCUAUAUGUUGCUUCCAGAUGGUCCUUCCCUCCCAAAGUGUUGCACACGGCUUAAACUUGUUUGUCCCUUCUUUUGACAUUUAUGUUCCCUGUACCUUGUCUCUUCCCUUUCUACUCCACUGCAUGUCCCUUCAUAUGAACU
rnacentral:lncRNA from 1 species